ensembl:lncRNA
GUAGGAUACGUGAUGAUAAACUUGGUCAUGUGACCCACAGGCAUGCACCGUGCAAGACUCCGACGCUCCAGAGGCAAAGCAGGCCGGUACUCGAUCUGAGCUGGAAGAAUGACAGGAAGUGGGAGGAGUCAGUCAGGGGUUAGGACUUAAUAUUUUGUUAAAAAUAACAUAUAAACAUGGACCAAUCCCGUCUCUCUGGAGAUGGGGAUUAAGGUUUAAGAGUGGAACUGUGUAUUAGAUGUGAUUUGGAUGAUGCGAUCGUUCCAGUCCUCGGGUCCUGAGAGAAGCGAUGCCCUCUGAGGCGAGUGCGCUGUGGGAUGAUUUAAACAUGAGGUUCGCAAUGGUGAUAAACUGGUGGCUAUAAACCUCCCAGAUCUGUAAACUACGUUAGCAUCAUAUCCUGAAUGCAGAAUUACGGAAGCAAAUGUUGUGGAUCAAAUAUCUGAGAGGGACAGAGAGACAGAGGGAAAGUAAGGGAGAGAGAGACAGGGGGAAAGUAAGUGAGAGAGAGACAGGGGGAAAGUAAGUGAGGGACACAAGAGAAAGCGACAGUGAGAGACAGACAGACAGGCAUUGGAGAGAGAUACAAAAAGACAUAGAAAGGAAGAGGAGACCGCGAGAGGAGGGGAACACUGAGGGAGAGAAACGGAGAGAGAUGAGAGAGACACACAGAGAGACAAAGACAGACACAGAGAGAUACAGAAAAAGAAAGAGAUACACCGGGUGAGAAAGACUCCGAGAGAGAGAGAGACACGAGUGAAAGAGCCUGAGGAAAAAAACGGAGGAAAAAGAAACGGUGAAAAGACACAGAUGGAGAGAUAUGAUAGAUUCACCAGAGAGAGAGAGAGAGAGAGAGAGAGAGAGAGAGAGAGAGAGAGAGCUGCAGUAUGAGGACAUUAUGGUGUAUGAGAGCAGACGUCUCGCAGCACUCUGAUCAGCUCGUCUUAUCGAUCUGAGUGCCGCGCUCUCUCAUAAGACAGCACUCUGCUAAAUUG